CUAGGGUUUAGAGCCUUGAUAUUUUAGGAGAGGUUUGGUGGGAUGACUCCCGUGGUAGGUUCACGUACUUUAGGUCGAUACAGUUUAUAUUUCUAACUUAAUGUUUUUUUUUUUUUUUUUUUGAACUUAGCUUUCAAAUUUAAAUGCAGAAAGAAAUGUAAAAGAUACAAGCCUAAGCCUUAGUAUUUUAGAGCCCAUCAAAGCCCAGCCAGAAAUUAAAAACACAACAUCAAAGAGACCCAACAGAGGCCCAAAGAGAAGAGGAAAGCGAGGAGUUGAUUUUGGAAAGUGAUACGAAGAUCACGAGGAAUGAAACGGUUGAGAGAGCUGAGCCGAUCAGAGAGAUGACUAUGUGAGCCAUGUCUGCAUUAGAGUUGAUGAUAGAGUCGAGUUCUGAUCACGAAGAGAAAGUAUCUUGUUCUUUAUCUGCCUAUCCAAGAGCCGAAAGAUCGAGUCUGGUGAGCGAAAGAUCUGGCGAUGGAUCCGGGCAUUCCUCUCUGUCCAGGAGUAUAACCACACCGCAAGGAGCAUACUUGCCAAAGAUGCCAUGCAAAUCUGCAAUCAAAGAAGAGAUGAUUCCGACACUCAGCAGCAGAAUUGCAGAGGACGCAAGCAGGGUCCGUUUGCAGUCCCCAUCCCAAGACGCGAUCUCUGGUCGGACAACGAUUCAAGACAAAUAACCAAGCAAGGAAGUUAUGUCGGGGAAUCCCGUACUUGUUCCACACGGAGUUAUACCAAGGCACCGUGAUUCCAGCCUCACAGAGCUUCCCAUAGACAAUACCAGUGCUAUAUCGUAAUUAAAAAUAUAUGUUAAUAUCAUAACAUGUCGGGUAAGAAAUAUAUGCAAUUAUAUUAUAGACUUACACAAUACAUAAUACUAAAAUAGAAAUUAUAUAUUUAAAACAUUUGUAAUAGUAUCAAAUACAUUUAUAAAAUAAAAAAAUAUCUGCAGGUACUUGCAGGUGUAACAUU